rnacentral:ncRNA from 2 species
AAUACGCACUAGGGGUGUUUUUUAAACUGAGAUGAGGAUUUCCUCAGACCCUUUGAACCUGAUCUAGCUGAAACUAGCGUAGGAAAGUGUGAGAUAACCGCA